GGCCACCGCUGCGUACGGAGACCGUUGCGGGCAGCCGGCGCACACGUGCGCGCUGCCGGUCGCCGUGUUGGCCGCUACUCUGCGCUCUCUCGGGGACGGGGUAGCCCACCGAAGGGGGACAUCUCGAAGAGAAGCAGCAAGACCUGGGGAUCCGGUGGUUCAUUUUGGUCGUCGCCUGUGAGGCCAGCAUGCAAGAGUAAGAGGAAGCUAGGAGCAGUCUCAAAAAGAUAUGGAACCGAGGACAGCAAAUGCUGACGAAGAGAAGAGACGGACGAGCGUUUGCUUGUGGUUAAUACCGAAGGGACGGGAUGAAACAAGGAAGCCAGAAUGCAGCGGCCCCUCGAUAUCACCAGGAACUGCUACAGGAGGAGGCGUUCUGGCACGGGUAACUAGGGUAAGUAUCGCUGAUGACCGUUAGCAGUUAUUUCGGCCUCCCCGAGGCAGCGCUGAGGACUGAGUAACCCGU